GAUGAACGCUAGCGGCAGGCUUAACACAUGCAAGUCGAGGGGCAGCGGGACUUCGGUCCGCCGGCGACCGGCAAACGGGUGCGGAACACGUACGCAACUUACCCUUAUCUGGGGGAUAGCCCGGUGAAAACCGGAUUAACACCUCAUGGUAUUAUUGAGAGGCAUCUUUUGGUAAUUAAAAAUUUAUUGGAUAGGGAUGGGCGUGCGUAAGAUUAGGUAGUUGGUGAGGUAACGGCUCACCAAGCCGACGAUCUUUAGCUGAUGUGAGAGCAUGAUCAGCCACACGGGCACUGAGACACGGGCCCGACUCCUACGGGAGGCAGCAGUGAGGAAUAUUGGUCAAUGGGCGGAAGCCUGAACCAGCCAUGCCGCGUGAAGGACGAAGGCGUUCUGCGUUGUAAACUUCUUUUAUAAGGGAAGAAACCUACGAUUUCUAUUGUAGCCGACGGUACCUUAUGAAUAAGCACCGGCUAACUCCGUG
rnacentral:rRNA from 1 species